UGUUAGCUGCAUAUAGUACUACUCCUUUCCUGUUGUUUGUUGGUUGAUGCUGCUGCUGCUACUUUGAUGCAGUUGCUGCUAAUUUGAUGUGGAGGACGUGCAGGGACGGACGACGAGCGAGCAGAGGAUUUAUCCGGGACCUAAAUUUGGCAGGCAAAUGGGUAAGCUCUCACAUCCCUCUCGGUCUCCUUUGAUUUGUUGCAGAUUUCUUCGAAGUCCAUGACCUCUCUUGGGCCUUGGCAGUGGCGAGCUAGGUGCCGGCGAGGUAGGCGACAUCGUCAACGAGGGCCAUCAUAGCCUCCACCUGCGCCCUCUUGCAGGUGGACUGCUGGUCAUCGGUGCGGAGGGUCGGGCUCUUGCAGCAACAUCUACGAUAUUCUCUGGACGAGCUACAGGUAGGCCAGUAGAUGAGGAUUCGACGACCACCACCGAGGUAUGCCCUCCUCUCCUUGCCCUUGGGCUGGCAUCUCUGAUCAGGUUGUAAUCUGCUGCUGUAGUGUUGCUCUUUGGGGAUUCCUAUGGGAUCUAUUUUUGAUUGGUCAAAGCUGGUAUGUUGGCCACCGGUUGGUUUAACAUGAUGCUAUAAUGCGCUACGGAAAGAUAUGUUAUUCUAGUACAA